ACAAUUUCCCGACAACUAUUUAAUGGCAUCAAAGAUUUUAAAUAGGCUUCCGAAGUUAAUUUGGAACUGUCAACAACAUCGCAAGAACCGAAAAUUCACUAAUUUCAGGAGUGCCUACACAGGAAACAGCGCCCUGCCUGCCUUUCACUAAGGUCUCUGAAGACUUCGAUUCUUCCAUUCAGAAGCGGUGUGAUUUGCUCGACCGAAGGCCGGCUAAUUUCCAUAUUAAAGCCCUGGCCUCGCUUCUGGCACGGAGAGCCAAACAACGUCUGCAGAAUCAACGAGGCCAGGCCUACAGUGCUGAAGCCACUACAUCACAGGCGACUCCAAACUGAAGUCCUCUGCCUUUUGGGAUCGAGUCUGGAAGGAAACCCUUUCCGCGAACGUCCUCUGCCUUCCCGGCCCGGCCUCCGCACGGUCCCGGCUGCGCCGCCCUCCAACGCAGUGCCACGGCGCCACCGCGCAGGGCUCUCGGAAGAGGGCGGGGCCUUGGCCGGCGACCUCGAGUCACGACUGACCGACAGAAACUGCGACCAAUCAGAACUAAGAAGAGGCCACCCGAAGGCGUGGGGACGAGCACGUAAGCAGUGCGCUACGCUACUGUAUUUAAAAGGAACGCUGAAGCGUCGGGCGAAGGGAAGCCCCUGGGCGGGCCUCGGCCCCGGGGCGGAGCUAGCUGUGACUGACAGGAGCCCGCCCAAGCCGCGACAGCAGUUCCCUCGCCACGCCCCGAAGGGCCCUUCCGGGUGCCCGAGGGAAGCCGAGCGCCGAGCAGCUGGCGAGACCGGCGCCGUCCCCGCGCUGCACACUUUCAAGCUCCACGUUCAGCUGACAAACGGCCGUUUUCUUGUCCCUCUUUGCUUACACCUGGCCCCAUCCUCGGCCAGAGGCUUUCUGCCUCCUGCAUCACGCUGAAGAUAGGGACUCAGUGUCCACUUGUUCCAGGGAGGCUCCAUCUUAAGCACUGGAAAGAAAGGAAAAAAAACGAAGGUGUUUUUAUUUUGAAGAAUUCUGCUAAACAACCUACAAAGGCAGUGAACACUCAUGAUUAAACCUGUCAUUUUACAGCUCAGCGGGAAGAAAGGCAUGAAAUACAAUGUCAGUGGAGAAUGAAGGCAGAUUAUUGGAAAUGCAAUAAUCCCCACCCAUUUGCUUCAAGGAGAAACCUGCAGACGUAUUUUCAGGUCUUGCUAAAUAAUUGUUUAUUUGCACUCAAUACAUUUGGGAAAGUCUGCUACAUAGCUAAGGUCACUGUGACCACAGAACAACAGAUGAGAAACAUAAAGCACUGAACAGCAAGAAAAAUGCAUCCCACCCUCCAAAAAAAUUGUAACUGAACCAGUGUUUCAAAAAAGAUGAAAUAAAUGGGUACAGCCUUCAUCUUUUACAAAUAUACUUCCUCCCCCAAGGCUCCCCACUAUCCACACCAUGGAGUGUUUAUAUAUUCAGUGCAAAGAGCAGCAUCCUCAGUACAAUUGAAAUGGCUCCAAACAAAGAAUAAAGCUGAAACAACAUCUGUUUCUGAAUACAUUUCUGUGUGGUGUAAUAAUGGUCUUAUUACACUCUAGUGAUGAGGGAGAGGCUCUGAUAGCACCCAUUUGCAUUCCACGUGAAAUAACAAACCUAAAAUCUCUCCUGAAAAAAAUUCCUCAAGCCACAUUAAAGAACAAAUUGAACAGGACUGCUUUAUUGUGUAAAUUUAAGACAGGACUGUUACAUGAACUGCAAAUGAAGACUUAAAAUAUUCUACAAAAACCAGAUAACUCAUGCUAUAUGUCACUCCUCCCAUAAAUACUUUUAGCCUGUAUUCAAUUACAGUCAAUUCUGAAUUGGCCCACCUCUGGAUUAGACUUCUAAAGUCUUUACACAGAACAAAAGAAAUGGAAAAAAAAAAAAAAUCAAAGUUUAUAUUGUAUCCUGUACAAUACCCUGGAAAGGUAUGGGUCUGCUUUAAAAAAAAAAAAAAAA